AGAAGGUUUGAAGAUCUUCUUCGUGUUCAUCGAACGGUUAUAGAUCCGGUAAGUGUGUGAGAGAGAAGAAGUUUGAAGUAUGUUGGUGACGCCGGAGUUCGAAACGUCGUCGGAGUCAAGAUCUAGUAAUGGUUUAGCCUUUUGAUCUGAACAAAACAUAUCCAUAAAGAUAUUCAAUUGACAAGCUGGAUGGAUGCGGGGAUAUUGAACAAGUCAAAUAUUUUGGGAAAGAAGUUUUCGUUCGUUUAUAACAUGUGUUAGUGGUUCAUGCUGUAACAGAUCCAUAAAGAAGUUUUCAUGCUGUAACAAGUUUUCGUUCAUGCUGUAACAGAACAGCAUGAUGUAACCAGACAUGUGUUCAUAUAUAACAUGUGUUAAGCCCCUGAUAGAAUAAUAUAUAA